rnacentral:hammerhead_ribozyme from 1 species
AUCCAGUUGACGAGCCUCGAAUAGGACGAAAUGCGCAUACUGGAU